GACGUGAGGCGCGAGCGUUGUCCGGAUUUAUUGGGCGUAAAGAGCUCGUAGGUGGUUUGUCGCGUUGUCCGUGAAAACUCACAACUCAAUUGUGGGCGUGCGGGCGAUACGGGCAGACUGGAGUACUGCAGGGGAGACUGGAAUUCCUGGUGUAGCGGUGAAAUGCGCAGAUAUCAGGAGGAACACCGGUGGCGAAGGCGGAUCUCUGGGCCUUACCUGACGCUGAGGCGCGAAAGCUAGGGGAGCGAACAGG
rnacentral:rRNA from 1 species